AUUGAACGCUGGCGGCAGGCCUAACACAUGCAAGUCGAGCGAGCGGCGGACGGGUGAGUAAUGUCUGGGAAACUGCCUGAUGGAGGGGGAUAACUACUGGAAACGGUAGCUAUUCCCCCUACCAUCCGAUGUGCCCCGAUGGGAUGAGCUAGUAGGUGGGGUAAUGGCUCACCUAGGCGACGAUCCCUAGCUGGUCUGAGAGGAUGAACAGCCACACGGGAACUGAGACACGGUCCAGACUCCUACGGGAGGCAGCAGUGGGAAAUAUUGCACAAUGGGCGCAAGCCUGAUGCAGCCAUGCCGCGGGUGUGAAGAAGGCCUUCGGGUUGUAAAGCACUUUCAGCGGGGAGGCGUUACCCGCAGAAGAAGCACCGGCUAACUCCGUGCCAGCAGCCGCGGUAAUUC
rnacentral:rRNA from 1 species